GACAGAAUUAGAGAUCUGGAACGUGCACUGGGAAGGACAAAAAGCAACCAAGCAGAAAGACCUUUUCAAAAAGAAUCCACCCAGGCAGAAGUGGACAAGUACAAAGAGCUGUAUCUGGUGGAAGCCAAAACCAGAAAAAGCCUCGCCAAGAAACUGGAAAGAGCUACUGAGAGACUUGCAGAGGCCAACACCAAGCUCUUUUUGGAGCGCCACAGAAGCAGAUCUGCAGUCCCAAGCAGCGCUGUCAGCGGACUUCUGGCUGCAAGUCCACUUCUGGAUUCACCUGGCCUGGGACCUCUUGGCAUCAGUUUGGGACUGAGCAGAAGUCUGGCUCUCAGAACACCACCCAGACACCUGUGGUAAAGCCCAAGACUUCUGCUCAUCAGGACAUCCUGUAAGGGACCGUUCAGAUGGAUGGAACAAAUUGCUUCCUUUCCUUAAUUUCGACAUCCACAGCCUAGUAGCCAGUUUCCUUAAUGGUGGCCUUCAAGGUUUGGUAGCAAAGACUCCAAGAUCAGCUCUAACCCAUCCCUGCAUUGUUCAACGACAAUGAUCCUAGUGGUGAAGGCAGCGAAAAUGCUACUUAAAAUUGGAGAGGUGGUGCUGCAUUGGUCCCCUUGUUGUAUGAAAGGAAUCGCUGGAGCUUUGGGGACAAGAAGUGCCA